rnacentral:sRNA from 1 species
UUAUUUGGCAUGAGGAUGGGGGAUGAGAACCCGGGUUCGACUCGGAGCCCACGGAGUGGGCGGAGAGAGCGCCCGCGGCGCGGGCGACCCGAAGGGCGAGGGCGCAGCCCGAGUAAUCCCUCCCUCACCGCCA